AUGGGGACCCACCAGCACGGACCCUCAUGGGACACCUCACCUGGGUGCCAGCCUGGUGCCACCCAGCAGUGGCAGUGCCACCACGCCACCCGCGCUGGCCCUACCUGCCGAAAACUGGCUCCACGGUGUUGGGCACGUACUGGUCCCGCUGGCCCAGCGUCUUCGCCCCCAGUGAGACACGGACGUAGGGGUCACACUGGCAGCGGUGGGGGGGACAUCAGGGUGACCCAGGGGACAUGGGGUGCAGGGGACACGGGGGUGGCCUUACCAGUCCGUUUCGGUCACGAGGGGACAGGUCGAAGGCGCGGACGAUGUAGACGCGCACCAGGCACUGCUGGGGCUGGCUGGGGGGCAGCUCCUGGAAGUGGCGCGGUGGGGGGGGCACCCCGGGGUCCUCGGGCAGGGGGUAGAGACAGAAAAGCCCCUGGAGGUGGGGGGGGACAGCCCAGCUGUGCACCCCGAGGUGCCCUGGCCCUGCGUUUGGGGUCCCCAGGGGACACCGUGGGCUCUCACCUUGAACUCGCCCACAGGCACGGGGUCCUCCCCGGCCCCCAGUGGCCCCCCCGGCUGGUAGAGAGGAAAGGUCUGGCAGAAAUCCUGCAGCCCCUCGAAUUCGGGCACUGCCUCCAACUCGCAGCUGUAGACCUGGGGGCACAGAGGUGGCUGGUGGGGCUGGCACUGUCCCCACCGCUGUCCUCGUCCUUGUCCCCAGCCCCAGCUCAGCCCCAUCCCUGUCCUGGUGCUUCUCUCCACCCAGUCCCCGUCCCCUUCUUUCUUCUUGUCCCCAUCCCCAGCCUUGUCCCCAUCCCCAUCCCACCUUCCUUCCUGUCCCUGUCAUUGUCCUCAUCUUGUCUUCAUCCCUGUCCCCAUCCCCAGUCUUGUCCCCCUCCCACUGCCUUCUUCAUCAUUGUCCCGUCUUUGUCUCCAUCCUGUCCCUGUCCUCAUCUCUUCUUCAUCCUUGUCCCCCGCCUAGUCCCUGUCCCCUCCCCAUCUUUAUUUCUGUCCCCUCCCCACCUUUAUUCCUGUCCCUGUCCUCGUCUUGUAUUCAUUCCUGUCCCCAUCCCUGUCCCUGUACCCAUCCCAUCCCCUUCUUCAUCACUUUUCCUGUCCCUGUCCCCAUCCCCAUCACUGUUCCUAAAGCCACCCCAUCUCUGUCCCAAUCCUCUUCCCCACCCUUAUCCCCAUCCUAUUCCCAUCUCUGUUUUCAUCCCCAUCUUUGUCCUUGUCCCUCCCCAUCCCCAUCCUUGUCCCCUACCCCAGCCCACCUUCAGGCUGUCCCUGUGUGUCCCCCGGUGGCUCUUUGCUGUGUCCCCCAUAGCCGCGUAG
rnacentral:lncRNA from 1 species